GAAGAAGAAAGGAAAGGAGGAGAAGAGAAGUAGGUCUCAAGUACUUGGAAUUUCGGAAAGAAAUCUUAGGUUUCGGAGGCCAGGAACGUCAUUUGGGAAUCAGAAAGGCCUAAAUCAGCGCCUAAAUCAGCUCGAAUCAUAAACUUGCGCCUGUAUCCAAAAAAGCCCACUUUACACAUGUUAGCACUGUGCGAUACACUCGACGAAGUUCACCAACUCAUUCCGGGCAAAUACAAUAACUUCUCGGCGAAACUUCAGUUUGAGCAGUUUUCGUCUCUCCGAGUUUGUUUUUGUGUCUAGUUCGCGCUAAAAUAGCUCUUGCUCAGCUCGACACUCUACAUAUAUAUCUGCAACGAGUCGACCCGCUAGCACCAAUAACUAGUUGAGCCCAAACCACCGGCCCAAAAUACGUACCAAGACUGAUUUGCUGGGCGGGGUUGAGACAGUGAACGUUAGACAGUUAAUGUUUGAUUUUAGUCCUUUUUGUUUCUAUAUCUAGUAUUUUCGGAUGUGAAUAUUUGGACUAUGUAGAUGAUCAUUUGUUAUCUACUUUUGUUUCGUUAUUUCUCC